GGGGGCGACCUGGUUUCGACGGGGUCAAUCUGGAUGGGAGCAGCAAGCCGAGCUUCCGGUGGGCUCGUUAAACUGCCGGAAACCUAACUUAAACGCAGACGAUAAUCUCGCGUUAGCCGCUUAAUUGCGGCUCGUCGUUCCCGCUAAGUCCACGAGCGGGGUAACGGCGUCAACUAGUGGACUCAACCGCCGCGGUUGCCUCUCGCCGCGGUUGGGAAAUCUUAGAGAGGCUGGCGAACCGGAUCCUGCCUUUGCGGAGCCGGGACGUGAGAACUAAAAGCAAAGGCUAAGCUUGUAGAUACUCCCUUUUGGAUGGCUUCGGACGCGGGUUCGAUUCCCGCCGCCUCCACCA
rnacentral:tmRNA from 1 species